CUUGAUUCAGUGUUUCUGUGACUGGCAAAUGGUAGCUUGUUAGUUGUGGUGACUCAGUUGCUUAUUUCUGUGUUUUAGCUCUUGAAAUGAUUUUGGUGGGUAACCAUUGUCAACAGAAGGCAAGUGAAAGGAAAAGCCUGGGAUUUACCUGUAUGUGAUCAUGGUUCUCUGGAUAGUCUGGAUAGAAGCAGAUCUGCGUGUAGACCUGAUGGCAAAAAGAAAUAAAAAAAGCUUUGUCUGUGUCUAAGUUGCUGGCCUACUGAAAUAAAUCUGUCACCCUCAUCUGAGCUGUGAAUUUUUAUAUUCAGAGUUUUGGCUGCAAAUGGACAGAAGUGAGGGUGGUGUUAUAUGGGUUAGUAUUUUAUUCCCUAUCCUCCCACACCUGGAAGACUGACUCUUUGUGGAAAAGGUGGAGAGCCUUCCCCUUGUUGAGAGCCAAACUGGGCUUUUGAGCAGCCACACAUCAGUCCAUAGCUUCACAUUAUCCAACAGUGUUGUGUCAAGUCAGGUGGCUCCAGCCUACACAAAAUGAACUUGUGGUCUGUGCCCAGUCCUUGGGCUGCAGGUUUUCUACCUAAGGUCUAAAGCUUUAAAAUAGCCCACAUUCAGGGUCUACCUCUCCAGGAGGAAACCUUGCUUUUAGUGUAAAACCACUGGGCACUUAAGCUUGCUGAUGUAAGGAAGUUGGCAUGCAAUAGGCUGGGGUGAGUUUAUGGCUCCCCUGCUGUUCUUGACUCUUCUGUGUGGGCAUUUUUCAUAUGCAGUUUAGAGCUGAGCUGCUUCCUCUGGCAGCGUUGAGUAAGAGUGGCUGCAGCAUCAGUCAGUGCGCAGUGCCCAGUGUGCUGUCCGCUCAGAGCCCAGCUUAUAGCUCCCUUCCCGGGGUGAACAAGCCCUUGGGAAACGUUUGGAUUUUACAGGAGGCCCUGCAGUAUCAGAGCAGCAGCAAGGUGAUGGGAUGGGCUGUGGAGCUGUGAGACCAGCAGGGAUGCUCAUGCCAUACCAAACCCAGCUGGGAUGUGUCGGGCUUAAGGCAGGACCAUGGGUGGUGCAAGUGGAGAGCGCCUUUGUGGGGAUGGGGACAUCGUUCCGCAGAGCCAGAAGCCAGGGGAGCCCCGGAUCACGCUGGGGGCAGGUCGUACUGGUGGGACCUUGCCUCUGCCCUGCCUUUGCCCCAGGCUGGCCCUGGCAGAGCCCGCGGAGGAAGGAGCGGGGAGCACCUGGGCGGCCUCGCUCACCUCUGCCAGCGGGCUCCCCCCGGCCCUCCUGGCUGCCUGCCGCCUCUGUCCGGCUGCUGGCAGGCCCCGCAUGCCCUGCCCGGGCUGGGAGCAGGCAGCGGGGAGCGGGGAGCAGAGCGGUGGGUGGGAGAGGAGCAGCUCCCCCGCGCCCCUGAGCCACCCCAGCGGAGCCCGGCUGCUCCCCGGCUCCCCGCGGCAAGCGCGUGUUUGAGCUUGUGCUAGUCUCCUGGACACCUUCCCG
rnacentral:lncRNA from 12 species